UUAGCGAUCCAUCAUGUCCUCACUAUUGGGGGCUGGUGGUGACAGAAAAGUUACCCUAGGGAUAACAGGCUCGUCGCGGGCGAGAGCUCCCAUCGACCCCGCGGUUUGGUACCUCGAUGUCGGCUCUACCCAUCCUGGUUCUGCAGCAGGAGCCAAGGGUGGGGCUGCUCGCCCAUUAAAGGGGAACGUGAGCUGGGUUUAGACCGUCGUGAGACAGGUCGGUCUCUGCCUGACAGGGGUGUAGUUGUUUGAGGGGAAGUUGCCCAUAGUACGAGAGGAACAGGGCAACGCAGCCUCUGGUUUAUCAGUUGUCCGACAGGGCAGGCUGAGCCGCUAAGCUGUUUAGGAUAACUCCUGAAAGCAUCUAGGGAGGAAACCUUUCCCGAGAAAAGACAGCCUUCUUUACAGAGAAGGGCAGCUAUAGAAGAUAGCAUUGAUAGAAUGGAGGUGUAAGCAUCGAGCUUUUUGCGAGAUGUUCAGCCUGCCGUUACUAAUAGCCCAACGCACCUGAUUA
rnacentral:rRNA from 1 species